GAUGAACGCUGGCGGCGUGCCUAAUACAUGCAAGUCGAGCGAACAGAUGAGGAUCUUGCUCCUCUGACGUUAGCGGCGGACGGGUGUGUAACACGUGUAUAACCUACCUAUAAUUCUGGGAUAACUUCGGGACACCGGAGCUAAUACCGGAUAAUAUAUUGAACCGCAUGGUUCAAUAGUGAAAUACGGUUUUGCUGUCACUUAUAGAUGGAUCCGCGCCGCAUUAUCUAGUUGGUAAGGUAACGGCUUACCAAGGCAACGAUGCGUAGCCGACCUGAGAGGGUGAUCGGCCACACAGGAACUGAGACACGAUACAGACUCCUACGGGAGGCAGCAGUAGGGAAUCUUCCGCAAAGGGCGAAAGCCUGACGGAGCAACGCAGCGUGAGUGAUGAAGGUCUGCGGAUCGUAAAACUCUGUUAUUAGGGAAGAACAAAUGUGUAAGUAACGAUGCACGUCUUGACGGUACCUAAACAGAAAGCCCCGGCUAACUACAU
rnacentral:rRNA from 1 species